UACGAAGGGGGCUAGCGUUGCUCGGAAUUACUGGGCGUAAAGGGCGCGUAGGCGGUGCCUCAAGUCAGGCGUGAAAGCCCCGGGCUCAACCUGGGGACCGCGCUUGAGACUGGAGUACUAGAGUUCGGGAGAGGAUGGUGGAAUUCCCAAUGUAGAGGUGAAAUUCGUAGAUAUUGGGAAGAACACCGAUGGCGAAGGCAGCCAUCUGGACCGACACUGACGCUGAGGCGCGAAAGCGUGGGGAGCAAACAGG
rnacentral:rRNA from 1 species